rnacentral:rRNA from 1 species
UACGGAGGGUGCAAGCGUUAUCCGGAUUCACUGGGUUUAAAGGGUGCGUAGGUGGAUUAGUAAGUCAGUGGGGAAAUCUCCGGGCUUAACCCGGAAACUGCCAUUGAUACUAUUAGUCUUGAAUACCGUGGAGGUCAGCGGAAUAUGUCAUGUAGCGGUGAAAUGCUUAGAUAUGACAUAGAACACCAAUUGCGAAGGCAGCUGGCUACACGAGCAUUGACACUCAGGCACGAAAGCGUGGGGAUCAAACAGG